CGCGUCGUUUCCUUUCGAGAUCUUCGAUAUGGUUCGUAAUAUAUAUCGUAUUGGACUUAUCCUCAGGGCGGUUAGUGAGGAGUCUUAAAUCUCCCCACAAAUCCGGGUGCACGGGAGCGUCUUAGCAUCAGCGAAGAGGGCUGGAAUGCAAUAAGAGUCAAGGGCCGUGUCCGAGUCCGAGCGAGCCGUGCGCAAAAGGGGAAAUCCCUGCGGCCUAUAAAGAAAAUACGCAAGCGCGUGCCCCCAUAACAUUCUAAGCCCAUUCCAAGCAUGUGGUAUGUUGUCAAGGACGACGCGGGAUAACGAAGGAAAGACGACGAAGGAGUAACGCCGCGCGGCAGACGGCGAGGACUGUAUGAGUCCAUUGUCGAAGUAGUCUGACAAUAAAGCUAUUCUUGUCUGAAACUCUGUCUUCUCCUUGUUUGAGCAAUCACACAAAUCAUAAAUUUCGUUGGACAAACACACAAACUCACCGAGCUAGCCGCUGCAACUCCAGAACCAGGAAAACAUAGCAAAUAGUAUCGCAUAACGGAAAAUCAUGCCCGAGGAACAUAAGAGCAGGACAGGAAAAUGAAAGGAAAGUCCUUCGCGACUGCAUUUU